rnacentral:rRNA from 1 species
CCUACGGGAGGCAGCAGUGAAGAAUCUUGGUCAAUGGACGAGAGUCUGAACCAGCCAAGUAGCGUGAAGGAUGACUGCCCUAUGGGUUGUAAACUUCUUUUAUAAAGGAAUAAAACGAGGCACGUGUGCCUUUUUGCAUGUACUUUAUGAAAAAGGAUCGGCUAACUCCGUGACAGCAGCCGCGGUAAUACGGAGGAUCCGAGCGUUAUCCGGAUUUAUUGGGUUGAAAGGGAGCGUAGAUGGGUUGUUAAGUCAGUUGUGAAAGUUUGCGGCUCAACCGUAAAAGUGCAAUUGAUACUGGCAGUCUUGAGUACAGUUGAGGUAGGCGGAAUUCGUGGUGUAGCGGUGAAAUGCUUAGAUAUCACGAAGAACCCCGAUUGCGAAGGCAGCUUACUAAACUGUGACUGACAUUGAUGCUCGAAAGUGUGGGUAUCAAACAGGAUUAGAUACCCCGGUAGUC